rnacentral:tRNA from 1 species
AAAGGAUUAGUUAAUCAUAUAACAUCAGAAUGUCAAACUGAAGUAAUCAACUAAAGAUAUCCUUUU